rnacentral:rRNA from 1 species
UACGUAGGGUGCAAGCGUUGUCCGGAAUUAUUGGGCGUAAAGAGCUCGUAGGCGGUCUGUUGCGUCGGCUGUGAAAACCCGGGGCUCAACCCCGGGCCUGCAGCCGAUACGGGCAUACUAGAGUUCGGCAGGGGAGACUGGAAUUCCUGGUGUAGCGGUGAAAUGCGCAGAUAUCAGGAGGAACACCGGUGGCGAAGGCGGGUCUCUGGGCCGAUACUGACGCUGAGGAGCGAAAGCGUGGGGAGCGAACAGG